rnacentral:lncRNA from 1 species
UUUCAGACUUUCUCCUAUCUCGAUCGACUUUACUCCGAGCUUCUUUCAGACUUCAUUAAUGUCUGGACUUCUCCAGCAGUAGGACUUCUACAGUAACCAGACUCCAUCCAAGUUUCUACAGUGGUCGAUCGUCUUUCGAAUUUCAUCCGAGCUUCUACAGUAAGCGAAUUCCGUCCGAACUUCUAUUGCAAGCGGACUUCAACCGAGCUUCUACAAUUAGCGAUCUCCA